CACCAAUGGUCCUUAUGGUUUGGGGUAAGUUGCGUGUUUGGUCCCUAACUUAUUUUUUUAAACUCGAAAGGUCACCGAUCUUUGUUUUUGUUACCCACUUGGUCUUGCCUUACCUAAAAAAAACUAUUAUGCCCUUAAUAAUUUAUUUUUAUUUAAUUUUAUUAUUUAUGUUAAUACAAGUGUAAUUAAAAUGUCCCACCUUUUAUCAAAUCCCUUUUAUUUAUUUUAAUUAUCGUUUUCCCUUUUCUAGCCAGCAAGAAUGAUUUCUCGCCUUCACCUUCUUUGCCUGAAAUAAUGACACACAAUGAAAGCUCGUCUGCCACCAUGUUCCUCUCGCCGGAAACCUUAUACCAAGGGUGUGCACCUGUGUUUUCUGGAUACGUAUUUGGAGGAGAUCAAAACUGAAACCAUCAAUUUCUAAAACUUCCUCUUUAUUCCGCCCUAUCUUCCUCUCUCUUUACUCUGGCGACUCUAAAACCGUCGAUUUCCAAAAUCAAAACCCCCACCCCCAAAAUUACAGAUUCGAGACACAUCUGCAAUUUGUUUCUCGCCAGAAGUCAUAUUAAACAUUCAUCACUUAAUGUUCAGGCUUUGGAGGCAUCUGAUUAAUUUCAAGCAAGCCACAACCAUGGAAACUGUCUUUACAUCCUCUGAUUUUGUCUUGUAGCUAAUUACAAUGGGAGAUGUGAAAGAAUGAAGAUCGAUUGUAGAAGAUGCACUUACUGGGGGAGUUUUUUUUUCUUGUGAAGCUUAAAGUGAAUGAUCCGGUAGGAGGAGAAAAGAAUGUCAUAGGAAAACCACUUUCAAGAGAGUAAAAAGAAUAUUUCAGCGGUGGAGAGAGAGAGAGAGAGAGAGAGAGAGAGAGAGAGAGAGAGAGAGAGAGAGAGAGAGAGAGAGAGAGAGAGAGAGAGAGAGAGAGAGAGAGAGAGAGAGAGAGAGAGAGAGAGAGAGAGAGAGAGAGAGAGAGAGA